rnacentral:rRNA from 1 species
UGGGGAAUAUUGCACAAUGGGCGCAAGCCUGAUGCAGCAACGCCGCGUGAGGGACGACGGCCUUCGGGUUGUGAACCUCUUUUGGCAGGGAAGAAGCGAAAGUGACGGUACCUGCAGAAAAAGCACCGGCUAACUACGUGCCAGCAGCCGCGGUGAUACGUAGGGUGCAAGCGUUGUCCGGAAUUAUUGGGCGUAAAGAGCUCGUAGGCGGUUUGUCGCGUCUGCUGUGAAAACCCGAGGCUCAACCUCGGGCCUGCAGUGGGUACGGGCAAACUAGAGUGCGGUAGGGGAGAUUGGAAUUCCUGGUGUAGCGGUGGAAUGCGCAGAUAUCAGGAGGAACACCGAUGGCGAAGGCAGAUCUCUGGGCCGUAACUGACGCUGAGGAGCGAAAGCAUGGGGAGCGAACA